rnacentral:rRNA from 1 species
GACGUAGGGUGCAAGCGUUGUCCGGAUUUAUUGGGCGUAAAGAGCUCGUAGGCGGCUUGUUGCGUCGACUGUGAAAACCCGCGGCUUAACCGCGGGCUUGCAGUUGAUACGGGCAGGCUAGAGUUCGGUAGGGGAGACUGGAAUUCCUGGUGUAGCGGUGAAAUGCGCAGAUAUCAGGAGGAACACCGGUGGCGAAGGCGGGUCUCUGGGCAACUACUGACGCUGAGGAGCGAAAGCGUGGGGAGCGAACAGG